rnacentral:rRNA from 1 species
CAGUAGCCGCGGUAAUACAGAGGGUGCGAGCGUUAAUCGGAUUUACUGGGCGUAAAGCGUGCGUAGGCGGCUUCUUAAGUCGGAUGUGAAAUCUCUGAGCUUAACUUAGGAAUUGCAUUCGAUACUGGGAAGCUAGAGUAUGGGAGAGGAUGGUAGAAUUCCAGGUGUAGCGGUGAAAUGCGUAGAGAUCUGGAGGAAUACCGAUGGCGAAGGCAGCCAUCUGGCCUAAUACUGACGCUGAGGUACGAAAGCAUGGGGAGCAAACAGGAUUAGAUACCCCCGUAGUCCCUGUCUCUUAUAC